UACGAAGGGGGCUAGCGUUGCUCGGAAUCACUGGGCGUAAAGCGCACGUAGGCGGAUUGUUAAGGCAGGGGUGAAAUCCUGGAGCUCAACUCCAGAACUGCCUUUGGUACUGGCAAUCUCGAGUCCGGGAGAGGUGAGUGGAACUGCGAGUGUAGAGGUGAAAUUCGUAGAUAUUCGCAAGAACACCAGUGGCGAAGGCGGCUCACUGGCCCGGUACUGACGCUGAGGUGCGAAAGCGUGGGGAGCAAACAGG
rnacentral:rRNA from 1 species